rnacentral:rRNA from 1 species
CACGCCGUAAACGGUGGGCACUAGGUGUGGGACCCUUUCGACGGGUUCCGUGCCGUAGCUAACGCAUUAAGUGCCCCGCCUGGGGAGUACGGCCGCAAGGCUAAAACUCAAAGGAAUUGACGGGGGCCCGCACAAGCGGCGGAGCAUGUGGCUUAAUUCGAUGCAACGCGAAGAACCUUACCUGGGUUGAACUAUGCAGGAAAAGCAGUAGAGAUACUGUGUCCUUCGGGGCCUGCGAUAGGUGG